rnacentral:tRNA from 1 species
GCCAGGGUAGCUCAGCGGUAGUAGCACCACAUUCAUAACGUGGCGGUCAUGGGUUCGAAUCCCAUCCCUGGUA